rnacentral:lncRNA from 1 species
CAGGAAAAAUAACACAUAUAGAAAAGUUUCCUGGAAAGAAGCUCAAAUAAUGAGAUCUGUUUACGAGAUUUUGUUUCUUUCUGCAAAACUACCCAAGCCCAGUCUUCUCUCUGUAGAAUACAUUAGUUUAUCGUCUCAUGCAAAUCAUUAUUUCUUGGCUCCAUAGGAUGUGGAGUGAGUGGAGAUGCUAAAAAUACUUUACAACUUGGCUCUAAGGAAUUGUGGAGAAAAUCCUGGCUUGUAAGCUGGAGUUCUGGCUCUGGCUCUGUGGGAGCUAACAAGCCACCCUGGGUAUUCAAGCAUUUCACGGUCCCAGUGGUCUUCCAGGACUUGUCCGUCACAAUAUCCUACACAACCUCUGACUGUCCAGGGAGGUCAGGGACGCCAUGGCUUUGGAAAUGAUUCCUCAUGGUCUCGUAUUUGCUGCAAAUAGACCUUAUUCUGUAAGACAACUACUUCUGGUGGAGAGUCUGAUUUAACUUGCCAGGAAGGAACCCACUUCAGGUUGGUAACAAUGCUACUUUUGAAGCAGCAAAAUACAAUCUUAUAUUCUAUAACUACUUGUUACUUACCUUCAUACCUAAGCCUCAAACAUACAAACUCAAAGAUGUAUGUUUGAGAGAAUGUACGCAUUAGGAUUUGUCCGACUUGGUUUUGAAUCAUGAAUUUGUAAUUCACUAGCUUUGUAAUCCUGGAGCAGCUAAUAUUUCUGAACCUCAGUUCCUUUAUCUGCAAUAUAGGACCUAUAAUAUCCAUUGCCAGGUCUGUAAAAGACAUUCAAUAAAUAUUGUCAGUAAAAAAUCUAGGUAGC